GUUCCUUUAAAGAUGGUAUAGUGUGUUUAGAAGUUGUUUUGGCUAAGCAUCCAACUUUCUGUUUACAAUGUUUGAAAAAUGGCUUUGAAUUGCUCUGCAGUAUGUUCAGGUAUCAGAAAAUUAAUUACAGCUUCCAAUCUUUUCAGUGGCAUGUUUAAAGAGUCAUACAGUAGUUGAGCGUCACAAUUUAUUUACAUGUAUCUGUACAAAAUGUAAUUGGUUAGACUUGAUUAUGUAUACCUGUGGCAAUAGACAUUCAGGAGAAUGAACAUUUACUAAAUGUUUCCGACAGAAAUGUAUUGUGUAGAUCCAAUAUGCUGUCGGAUAGAUUGGAAUAGUACAGGAGUGUGUGUGCGCUCUAUUCAUAUCUUCAGCAUGCAGUUCCAGAUACAGCCCUGCCAUUAGUUGAAGGCUGCCAAUCCAUAGUUUCAAAAAAAGUACUCACUUCCUGAGAUCAGUAUUCAAAUAUUUGUUAAAAAAAAAAAAAAAAAAGUAGUAGUAGCCACAUAGCUAGAAUAACAGACAGCUGGAGACUUCAACAGUCCUUUAUUAGGUGUCUACAGAAAACAGAAACAGUGAGAACUACCGGGGUGUGUUCAGAACACAAGGUUUCACAGCGUUGGGAAACUUCUCUAUAGAGCCGUUUAUGGGUGUAUUAAGAGGGACCACAAAACUACAACUUCCCAUUACUUACUAUUUCAUUUUAGGCUGUGUGUGUGUGUUAGGAUUCCCUACUGGCCUUAUGCCCCCGUGUGCACUUGUCCUGCUCACUCAGUCCCCUUCAUGGAUGUGAAAGCAUUGGAUUAAUCAUGGACUUGAGUUUUCACCAUGUCAAAAUAAUAUCUGACAUGAUUUUCUUCAUACCAGUCCAUUCCUUUUAAAUCCACAAGGUGGGAUGAAGGUACACACUUCAGGGAGAGGAAGAGGUAUCAGAGUGUUGAUGUUGGGAGGGUGGUGGGGGGGUUGAUACGGUAGGGCUGUAGGAGGGGUGAGUUGGAGAUGGGGGGUGUCAAGUUGAGAGUGGAGAAGGGUGGAGUAGAUUGGAGUGUAGAGGUAAGUCUGUAGGAGGGUUGAAUGAGUAGAGGAGCUGGAGGAGCGUAGAGGUAAGUCUGUAGGAGGGUUGAAUGGAGUAGAGUGGAGCGUAGAGGUAGGUCUGAAUGGAGUAGAGUGGAGCGUAGAGGUAAGUCUGUAGGAGGGUUGAAUGGAGUAGAGUGGAGCGUAGAGGUAAGUCUGUAGGAGGGUUGAAUGGAGUAGAGUGGAGCGUAGAGGUAGGUCUGAAUGGAGUAGAUGUGAAGGGGGGGGGGGGGUUUGGCAGCAGCAGAGAAGUGUUUUCUGUAAACAGUGAACGGCGACAACUAGAAUAGGCCUAGUUGUGUAGUAGGAGUCUUUGACAGUGGUAAGGCAACUGGUCAGACUACACAGGACGUGAGGAAACCCAACAGGAAAUGAUGACAUCAAACAGGACAUGGCGAAAUGACAAGCGCUACAGUGGGUUUUCCACUUUAGAAACAGGCUUCCGUCACAAUAAUCAUAAUAUAAAGAAACAACCAUGCACAACACGCAUAUGGAGAGCAAAAAUAACCACUGGGAUGCAAACCUAAACAAAAUAACAGUUCUUCCAUUUUAGAGGGAAAUACCUCAUACCGAUCCCUCUCUGAAUACUUUAAAGAGUAAGAGCAUGACUGCCCGAUCAUUUUCAGGCUUGACUGAGUAACUGGGUUAGAGCUGUUAGAGUCAUGGGGUCUGGAUGGGACUUGGUGAGGCAGAGUCACAGUGAGGUUAUUACUGAGUCAUUACUUACUGACCAAGGCUUCUGCGCUGAGGUGGGGGUAUGGGGGCUGCAUAGUGUAGUAAACUGGUGUUCAAACACUGAAUGGACCAGUCUCUGCAGGGGUUAUUUCUGCAGGACCAGGCCACACACAGAUGCACGAACACGCACACACACAGAAAAACAGA